rnacentral:rRNA from 1 species
UACGAGGGGGGCGAGCGUUGUUCGGAAUUAUUGGGCGUAAAGGGUGCGUAGGCGGUUUGGUAAGUCUGAUGUGAAAUCUAUGGGCUCAACUCAUAGUCUGCAUCGGAAACUGCCGGGCUUGAGUGUGGGAGAGGUGAGUGGAAUUCCCAGUGUAGCGGUGAAAUGCGUAGAUAUUGGGAAGAACACCAGUGGCGUAGGCGACUAACUGGGCCAUAACUGACGCUGAGGAACGAAAGCCAGGGGAGCGAAUGGG